rnacentral:rRNA from 1 species
GACGAACGCUGGCGGCGUGCUUAACACAUGCAAGUCGAACGGAAAGGCCCUGCUUUUGUGGGGUGCUCGAGUGGCGAACGGGUGAGUAACACGUGAGUAACCUGACCUUGAUUUUGGGAUAACUUAAGGAAACUGGGGCUAAUACCGGAUAGGAGCUCCUGCUGCAUGGUGGGGGUUGGAAAGUUUCGGCGGUUGGGGAUGGACUCGCGGCUUAUCAGCUUGUUGGUGGGGUAGUGGCUUACCAAGGCUUUGACGGGUAGCCGGCCUGAGAGGGUGACCGGCCACAUUGGGACUGAGAUACGGCCCAGACUCCUACGGGAGGCAGCAGUGGGGAAUAUUGCACAAUGGGCGGAAGCCUGAUGCAGCAACGCCGCGUGCGGGAUGACGGCCUUCGGGUUGUAAACCGCUUUCGCCUGUGACGAAGCGUGAGUGACGGUAAUGGGUAAAGAAGCACCGGCUAACUACGUG